UACAGAGGGUGCAAGCGUUAAUCGGAAUUACUGGGCGUAAAGCGCGCGUAGGUGGUUUGUUAAGUUGGAUGUGAAAUCCCCGGGCUCAACCUGGGAACUGCAUUCAAAACUGACAAGCUAGAGUAUGGUAGAGGGUGGUGGAAUUUCCUGUGUAGCGGUGAAAUGCGUAGAUAUCGUUUGGAACGCCAAUGGUGAAAACAGGUAGCUGGGGGUGUGCUGACACUGAGACACGAAAGCCAGGGGAGCAAACGGG
rnacentral:rRNA from 1 species